rnacentral:lncRNA from 1 species
CAAGCCUUGUAAAUAUUAAAACAGUCUGUUCACAUGGCAAAUCUGGAUAUAUCAAUGCAUGGUUUAUAAGUGAAAAUUUGUAAAGGGCACAUUAGUAUAAGCUACUUCUUUACACUUUGUCUCAAAACCAGGAUUCUAUAUGGGUGAAAAAUAUGUUUUCUCUUUCCUUGGUCGAAUAAGCCACUAAAACAAAAAGGCCCUAAAUCAGAGUUCAUAGAAGUUGUAACUUUCCCUUUUUAGAGUUCAGUUAUUAGAACUUGCAGCAAAAAGAGACUCUUGGAGGUUGUAGAAAGUGUGACCUUUAUCAGGUUGUACGAUCAUUUUUCAGAGUUUCAAGUGACUGCUGGAUGGAUCUGUCUGUGAGCAGCAUGUCAGGAGCUCGUGUCCCUUUGUUCCAGGUCUCUCA